GUCCCCCAACAUUUCCACCAAAACACCCUCCACAUGUAAAGCCACCUUUCCACCCCAAACCACCGCAUCACAAGCCACCCCAUGUCAAACCACCGCACAAGCCCCCGUAUGUUCCUAAACCACCUUAUUCCCCAAGCCCUAAACCGCCUUACGUGCCAAAACCACCUCAUACUCCAGUCCCUAGGCCACCAUAUUUCCCCAAACCACCUUACACACCAAGGCCUAAGCCACCAUAUGCGCCAAAACCACCUUAUACGCCAACCCCUAAGCCACCAUAUUUCCCCAAACCACCUUACACACCAAGGCCGAAGCCACCAUAUGUGCCAAAACCACCUUAUACGCCAGCCCCUAAGCCACCAUAUUUUCCCAAACCACCUUACACACCAAGGCCUAAGCCACCAUAUGCACCAAAACCACCUUAUACGCCAACACCUAAGCCACCAUAUUUCCCCAAACCACCUUACACACCAAGGCCUAAGCCACCGUACGUGCCAAAACCACCGUACACACCAAGGCCUAAGCCACCGUACGUGCCAAAACCACCAUACACACCAACCCCUAAGCCACCGUACGUGCCAAAACCACCUUACACCCCAACCCCUAAGCCACCGUACGUGCCAAAACCACCGUAUACCCCAACUCCUAAGCCACCGUACGUCCCAUCGCCACCUUAUACCCCUCGCCCUAAACCACCGUAUGUACCAUCACCACCUUAUACCCCUAGCCCUAAACCACCGUAUGUGCCAUCACCACCAUAUACCCCAAGCCCUACCCCACCAUAUGUACCAUCACCACCGUAUACCCCAAGCCCACCAUAUGUACCAUCACCACCGUAUACCCCAAGCCCUAGCCCACCACCACCACCAAGUGGAACACCGUGUCCUCCGCCGCCGCCACCAAAGGUGAGACCGUACCCUCCACCACCAUCACAAACUUGUCCCAUUGAUACUCUCAAGCUUGGUGCAUGCGUCGACGUGUUGGGCGGUCUAAUACACAUCGGUAUAGGCAGCAGUGCAAAGGACGCUUGCUGCCCCGUGCUGCAGGGGCUACUGGACUUGGAUGCUGCAUUAUGUCUUUGCACCACCAUUAAACUUAAGCUUUUGAAUAUCAAUCUUAUUAUACCGAUCGCCCUUGAAGUGCUUAUUGACUGCGGCAAGCAUCCGCCGCCCGGAUUCCAGUGUCCUGCCUAAUUGGUGACGCUUUCCAGCCAUGCAAUUGAUGAAUGCGACUUGUUUGUUUUGGAGAUUUUGUCAAAGAUAAUGACAUGUAAGUGCAUAAAGUGGAAGUACUUCAUGAUAUCGAAGUUUGUCUUAAUAUAUGUUUUGUUCCUCUUGUGCAUAUCAAACCAAUUAUCUUUGGAGCAAAAUCUAUGUUUUGAUGGAUCCAUACUAUCUGCAAGUUUGGGAUCAUGGGGUGUCAAAUAAUCGCUUAUUUGACCCAAAUUUUAUUUGAGUUGUCCAAUUAGUUGUAACCAUCAAAUAAUUUAUUAUCACACAUAAUUUUGAGAGUAAAUUCUCAAUUGACCAUUAAAAAAAAUAAUCACAACCGACAAAUUCAAAACAGAUACUAUCAUCGUGGAAAGAAAUAUUAAUUAUGCAUUUGGAUUCUGAUAUAAGAUACGCUGAUCUUUUGAUGAUAUCCAUUUUCGCGCCUACAUAAUUCAGAUUCAACCACAAUUUUAUUGUUAUCCAAUAGCUAUUAAUAAAAUAUUAUAUUAAAAAAAAGCACAAAACUUGACCGGCACUGAAUUUAUAUUCAUUGAUUAUACUAAUGGAACCUUUCAUUUGAUGAAUUUAAUUGUUCAAUGAAAAAUAACUAGCUGAAACAGUUGAAGACGGGGUGAUUUCUCACCUCGAAAAGAGAGAGAAUUCCCCCAAAGUGCCGCUUGAUAGGAUUUGAUUUAAUUUAAUUUAAUUUAAUUUUAUGCCUUGCCCUUAAAUAAUGUGGAGUAGAGAUUGCUCUUAUUAUUGAUUCAAAAUCAUUAGAUAUGCAUUAUUAUAAAAACUUUAUAGUAAUUAUUCAAUGAAAGAGAAUUAUUAUUAAUAUCAUUUUCUUUCCAGACUGAUUAAUCAAUGAUUGUUUUGCAGGAAUGGAGCAUUAUAUGAAUUUCAGUCCAAUAACAUUUAAACAGCUCUCUUUAAGAAUGAAUUUGAGUUUUAGGCUACACAAGAUAAUCUGCCGUAUCCCUUGAUUUAACAUUCUAGUUAUUAAUUGUACGUACACAAAAAAAAAAAAAAAUCAUGGAGUGAUUGAUUUUUCCCAAACAGUUAUACUGUAGAUCAUUAAAGAAAAUAUAAAAAAAUAAAAGUUGAAACGAGUGGCCUAAACAGUAAACUUUGGGUGAAAGUUACAGAUAAUAUUUAAUUACGAUGGAGUUUUUUUUCCCCCCUUUUUUGCAUUUCUGAAACGUGUUGCCUGAUUUAACAGAGAAAAGGGAAAAUUUGAUGGUUGACACUUGGUAAUGAUUUAUAAGUAAUUUAAGGAUUUUUCUAUAAUGCUGUAUGUACUUUUACAGCAUUAAUAGUGCAGUUAUUAUAAACCCUUUGAUUUGAGUGAUUUAAUCUUAGUCAUUUAUUUAAUAUAAUAAAUAAAUAAGUAAUUAAUUAAAAGCUAGCAAGUAACUUGUAAGUUGUAGGUAAAUAUUAGUUUUUUAAUUUUAAAUUAAUAUUAACUUUAUAGCAUUUAAUAUAAGUUAUCAGAACGAGAUGCAUGUAAUCCAAGUUGAUCAUCGAGUUCAUGAUCAUGACCCUGCUGCUUGGUCAAUUGAGAUCUUUCCGACAGUACCACAUGAAAAUUCAUUUUGUCGAGGAGCUGCUGAAGUUGUACAGGAAGAAACAGAAUCCAAUCUCUCUAGUCCGACCGGUACAUUUCUCCAGGUCGCCGCCCACCAGGGUCUGGCCGCGUUGGCAGUCGAAUUUGGCGGUGGCAUUCUCUGCUGGAGAACGGGAAAAUUCUCUUGUGCUCCGUGGAACUCUGUAGUGCAGCUGGAUUCAUUGCUUGCUGUGGUGGUUAUAUCUUAGAACGUAGAGGCAAAGCUAAAUUGGCUUGCUCAGAUUAUGACAGGAGUGGGAGGUGUUGCCACUGCCAGUAGAUUUAUAAAUGGUAUGAAAAAACUACAUUAAUAACUGUGCAAGAUCAUGUGAGAAGGAACCCGUCGAGCUGGAGAUGAUCAAAUCAAGGAAGGCAUUGAAGGGCGAGGCGGAGAGAAGGAGAACAGAAUCAGAGGCUGAGAUGACUCAGAUGACGAUGCAAACUCAAUUGCAGAUCGUCCUUUGUUGAGGGGAUGAAUUCGAGUCGAAAGAGGAAGCGCGAUGAAGAAGACGAAUCACGAGUUUCUCAGAGGUAAAAUUCUUGAACAUGUCAAUGGUUAAUCAUUCAGGAACUUGAGACACUCUUUAAGAAUCCAAUUUCCUUCAAGAACAUGAGAGAAAAAACCGAUGGUUAAAUUUAUGAGAUAAAUAAAGAGAUUUUAUUUUAUCAAAUUUUUUAUCUCUUUUUUAAUCUAAAACAACCUUUUCAACCGGUUUGUUAACCGAUUAUAGUAUUUUUUAAAUGAUUAAAUUUUUCAUUAAUAAAAAUAAUGUGUACCGUUGAUUAGAUCUAAUGGCAUAUAUUUCUUACACUAUUGAUGCUGUAAAAAAAAUUACGGUAUCAUAAAGGGACUCGUAAUUUAAUCCUAAGUGUUUAGGGAGAGCAGUGACCUCUUGAAAAAUCCUCUUGUUACACUUUUUUUUUUCAUUUUUUUCUACUCCUUUAUUUAUUUAUUUUAAAUCCUUAAUUAAUUAUAAUACAUAUAUAUAUUUUUUUUUCCAAAAAAGUUUCUAUCAAAUUGAUAACAUGUAGAUACACAAUGUCAGAAGGAUUUCUAUCCUUGGUAUCAGUCAUUGUGGAACAAUUCAAAUGAAUAUACAGACAACGAGAAAGAGGUAUCAAUACCCCCUCAGAUUUCUCACAAUUACUAACACAUGCGAGGAUUGCUUUUAUUAUUAACAGUUACAAACCCCCUCUAAAUGGAGUUAGCUCUUUUCGAUAGCGGAAAGCAGUGGUAUUACCAUCGUGGUGGGGCAAAAUUUAGAAACUGUAUUUAGGAUAGACUACGAUAAAAAUAUAAAAAGACAUCAACUUUUUCAAGAAAACGGGCGACGAGCUAGUUUGGUUGGGAAUACUAUAAUUUUUAAAAUAAUUGUAAUUAGUAUUACAGUAAAAAUUAUUAAUUAUGAAGAAAAUCAAUUAAAUAUUUAAUAAAAUUUAUUUUUUAAAAAUGUUAUGAGUUAUAAAAGCAGUCAUAUAUAUUUAGUAAAUUUAACUGUUAAACUACUGUAAGAAUAUAAAUGAUUGAAUUAGAUGUUAAGAAAAAUGUAUUUAGAUAUUUAUAAACAUGUAUAUAUAUAUAUAUAUAUAUUAUUGUGUAUACAUAAUAAUUGAUAACUAGAAAUAAAUAUUUUAUAUUAUUAAUUUUAUUUUUAUCUUGUUAUCUCAAUAUAAUUGGUAAUAAUAAUAAUCUCUUUAAAGUUAAUGAUUUUAUUACCUAAUUAAUAAGGAUAAUUUUAGAUUUUUAUAAUUUAUAUAAGGAUACAUAUGAAAUUGUAUACAAUAUAAAGUUGAUUUUCAAAAUCAAAUUUUAAAAAGCUACUCAUUUCUUACUUUUCAAGUGCAUCCGAAAAAUUGGAUAUUUGGAUCUGGUUAAAUUUUAUUUUAAAUUAAAAACUAAAUUAAAAAUAUUUAUUAAAAUUAAAUUAAAAAUUAAAAAUUAAAAUUUAUUUGUCAAUUUAUGUUGUUGUUGUAUGCUAUUCAUGUUGAAUUAUUAAUUGUUGAAUUAUGAUUGAAUUUUAUUUGAUAUUAUUAGGUAAAUUAUUGAAGGUUAUUUUAAAUUAAAAGUAAAUAUUAAAAAUUAAAUUGUAUUUGUGGAUCUUUAUGAUGUUGUUGUAUGUUACUCAUGUUUAAUUAUUAGUUGUUGAAUUAUGAUUGAAUUUUAUUAGGCAAAUUAUUGAAUUUUUAAAUUAUAUGUUAAAUUAUUGAAUUAUGACUUUUGCAGAUCUAGAUAUCCAAAAUAUCUGCCCACAUCUGUUGCGGAUAUAACCUGUAUCCGGAUUCACAUAUUUUUUUGCGGAUUCAGAUGUAGAUCCAAAUGUAGAAAUGUAAUGCAGAUAUAGAUGCAGAUGCACCUAUAUCAGGAUUCGGAUCCAGAUUUUGUCAACCCUAUUUCCCGCACUUUAAAAUUCUAGACCAAAAAACUACUAAUAUAUAUAGGGAAUAAUCUUUGAGUGAUAAUUAUAGAUUAUAAGAUUGUGGGGCUUUGAUUUUUUUUAAAAUUAUAUAAGUGUUUAGUUGAAUUUUUAUUGAAAAAAAUAAUUUUAACUUGGGUUAUUUAUGUAUUUUCAAUUGAAUAGGGGUUUAUAAAUACUUUUGUGGGGGUGUUACUAACAAUACUUCUUUUUCUUUUGGGGCGUGGGGCGUGGGGCGUGGGCUAUAAGUAUGGGUCAUGGCGAUCUAGCAUGUCCUCAUUGGCACCCUAAAAAAAUCCUCUUAGAAAUUUCAUUUUCAAUUAUAUUCUAUUUAGUGGUAAAGAUAAUAUUUUUUUCCCAUUAAAUAGACACUAAUUUCAUUUAUAAAUAUCUCAAGUUUUAAUAAUUUUCUCACUCUUGAAGUCUUAAUAUUUGUAUUCUUCUCUUCAAACUUUCUUUAUUAUUUAAUUUCUAUAAAAAAAUCUAAAAGAGAAAAAGUAAGAAAAACCUUAUACUUAGAAAAAGUAAGAAAAAGCUUAUUAUACAUAUAAGCUUUGGGUGGAGCGAUUAGUUUGAGAAUCCUCAAAAUUAUUUGAAGUGGGAUAAAAUUUUAUUUAGAGUAAUGAUAUAGUCACAAACUCUUGUACAAACUUAUUUUGUACACACUGAUGUGGCACGAUAAAAUUGGCUAAAUUAAAUAUCUCUUGACCCACAUGAUUUAUUUCUAUUAUUUUAUAUUUUCAUUCAACUAAUGAAUUAAUACCACAUCAGUUUGUGCAAAAUAAGUUUGUACAAGAAUUUGUGACUGUAUCAUCACUCUUUUAUUUAAUUUAUUUUCCAUUAUGUUGUAUCCUAAUUUGGUUGCUAUGUUUAUUACAAGAAUUUUGUUUUCGAUUAUAGAAUUACUAUGCAAGUAAAGUAAGUUGCAAAGAGAGAGAGAAAAUGUAAGUGGGUUAAUCUUAAUUCUAUUAAUAUUUGUCCUUAAAUAUGUAAUAUAAUAUAAGCAGAGUUUUAUGAGAUUAAUAAAGGGAUGCCAAUAGUCGACUGGUUAGGCGGGACCCCUACCUGUAAUAUAAAUCAUAAAAUGAAGCGAAUACACAAGGAGGGGGACAUAAACCAAAACCUCAAAGAGUAACUAAAAAUACACACGAAUAACUAAAAAAGAAUAAAGACAACAAAAAGAAAAGGAAAACCAUAAAUGCCAGCAUCUUAUGUGAGAAACAAUCUAUGCAUCCAAAUGGAGAAUACCAGAUAAGUCUGUAGGAAGAUCUUAAGGACAUAAGAAACACUGACUAGAUGAGACCAUGCCCAAUUGACCAAAAAAUUAGCAGCAGAGGUAGCCUUAUGAAACAGUCAGCUCUUAUAGUUUAUACAUGAGCCAACCUACUAAAUUUUUCAUUCAAUGUUAAACUUAUCUUGCCAAUUAUGCCAAUGACACAAUCUUGGGCGUUUAUAUAAUUUCAAUAAGAGUGAUAAAAGAUUUUGAUUGCAACAAAGUAUUUAUACAUAUUGUAUUUAUAUCAAUUAAUUGAGUAAUGACUCUAGCAUGGUUUGAACCCUCCCGACUAUAUAUAUAUAUAUAUAUAUAUAUAUAUAUAUAUAUAUAUAUAUAUAUAUAUAUAUAUAUAUAUAGAAAUGUUUAAAUCCAGAAUUUUAAAGUGCGGAAACGUCCGGGAAAAUGUAUAAACCGUGCGGUUUAAGCGCUUUAAGUUUUCCCGGACUUUUCCCGCACUUUAUGAUCCCGGAUAAAAAAACUACUAUAUAUAUAUAUAUAUAUAUAUAUAUAUAUAUAUAUAUAUAUAAGAGUGCUGGUAUAACAAUAUUGUAUAAUAAAUAUUUAAUUAGUUUAACAUUCGUAUUUAAUAACCACCAAUAAAAGUCUUGCAUUUUGAUUAGAUAAGGUAUAAAAGGGUUGCAGUUUUUAUUUCAUAUUGUAAUGAUAGUACUUUUAAAAUACAGUAUAAAAAUAAGGAUUAGAUUCCUCUCCUGGUUUAAGCAUUCAUGACCUUUUAAUAAUCUUAUUCCAUAUGUCAUGUAGUAAUAGUGUAUGGAUAGAAUAUAUUUUAAAUUUAUUAACCACCAAUGAACACAUAAAUUUUUAUUUAGAAGAAGUUCAAAUCAACAGAUUUUAAUCCGUGAACAUAAUAGAGAUCGAAGAGAAACUACAACUCAAAUAAGAAAAAAAGCCUUACAACUUCAUUUAACAAAUAUUAAAAAAGCCUUACAACUUCAUUUAAUAAAUAUUAAAAAAGCCUUACAACAUUUAUAUUAGAUUCACGAGCAACAAGGGAUCAAUAUUGAACAUGACAUGCAAUUAUUACAUCGAGACAUGAAUGUGUCUUCAAGUAUUAUACGAACUUGAAGCUCUCACACGUUAUUGUUAUUCUUUUAUGAGAAAAUAAACGAAACUAGUAACAUAUAAAAUAUUAAUAUGGUCAAUUAAUAUAUAUAUGUAUGUAUGUAUAUUUCCCUCAGAAACUGCAUAUGCGUGGGGCGUCACCAAUUAAUUAAUGGGUGGACACUGAAAUCCUGCUGGCGGAUACUUGCCACAGUCGUUGACAAGUACUUGCAGGGAGAUGGGUACGAGAAGAUUGAUGAGAUUUGGAGCCUUAAUUCUAAUGGCAGUGCAAAGACAUAUUGCAGCAUCCAAAUCUACUAGCCCAUGAAGCAAUGGGCAGCAUUUCUCCUUAGCACUGUCGCCAAGACCAAUGUGAAUUAAACCACCAAGAACAUCGACACAUGCACUAAGCUUGAGAGCAUUAAUGGGACAAGUUUUUUGUUGUUUUGGUGGCGGUGGGUAUCUCACGUUUGGUGGUGUUGGUGGCGAUUUUACAACUGGAGGAGGAGUUGGUUUUUCCUUUGGCGGUGGUGGUGGUUUCACAACUGGAGGAGGAGGAGUACUGGGUUUCACCUUUGGUGGUGGUGGUGGUUUUACAACUGGAGGAGGAGGAGUGGUUUUCACCUUUGGUGGGGGUGGUGGUUUUACAGCUGGAGGAGGAGGAGUUGGUUUCACUUUUGGUGGUCGGGGCGGCGGCUUAGGGCUCGGCGAAUGAGGCGGUGGGGGACAAUUUGGUGAAGAAGGAGGAGGAGGGGUUGGUUUGGAGCAGUCACAAGCUAAAGAAGAGAGCAAAGCACCCGAGUUCAGGAGGACAAUCAAGAAACUAGUUAAUUGAUAUUUGCCCAUGAUGAAAUAAUUUCGAAACUCUCUAAUGAACUAGCUAGCUAGGGUUUGGAAUGCAUUCACUAUUGAAUGAGUGCCUUUUUAUAGAGAGUAAGAAGUUUUGGAUUUUUAAAAUUUUUCAGUUUUAAUUCGUUGAUCCAUAGACUUAAGGGCAAAGUACAACCCAAGCCAACUCACGAAUGGACAGAUAGACAGACAUUAUAUAUUUUUUUCUUUAAUGCUUGGAACAUGGGAUUGAUUAUCGUUUUAAGGAAGAAGACUCGAUUGAUUAUUUAACCAAAAAGUUGGUAUAGUUAAUUAAGCGUAUUGUUCUUAUAAUUUGAAACGUAAAAUUUGCAAUUAAUCUCUAGCAAAUGCAAAACUUAAAACUCUAAUAUAACUUCUGCAUUAGAAUUUCGAAGGGCGUGGGGACCUGUACUCUCAAUUUCACAUGAAUAUUUGCAAGCUGUUCAAUCAUUGAAGACGAAUGCAAGCAACAAGCAUCUUGCGGGGACACUUCUUCAUUUUUCUUUGGGCCGUUACAUGAUAACAAUAUUUAUAGUUAUAUUAUUAGCCCAUUAACUAAUCUUAAUAUUAGAUAUUUUAACCUAUUAACUAAUCUUAAUAUGAGAUAUUUUUGUUAGUAUUUUUUACUAGUCCUUGUCAUGUAUAAAAUAGACCCACUAGUACACAAGUAAGAGUCUAUCUCAUGUAAAAAUUAACUCAAGAGUUGAGAGUUGUCUCAAGUUUAUAUUUAAUUCAAUAAGUUUUCUCAACCUAUCUGAGAUUUUUUCCUUAUCAUCCCCAUCACUUGCAAACCAAUAUAUCUUUUGUUUUUUUGGUCUUUAUCAUGCGGAAAAAUACAUAGUAUGUGCCAACUUGUGCAUAACUAUGAAUCUAAUACCAUAUAAAGGUAUGUGAGUCUAAUUCAUACUCUAAAAUUAGCUCAAGAGUUAAGGAUUACCUCUAAUUUAUAUUACUAGUUCAGUAACUAAUCUCAGCAUAUGGUGGCUCCACCAGAGGAAAGUGUUAUGCACCUAUAUACAUAAAUUAUAAUGAGUAAAAUUAUUCAUGAUGAUACAACCACAUUAAUGAAUAAUCAGUAGUAAUUGAACCAUGAAAGUGUCAUUCUUCGUUUAAGGGUGCCUUUGACAUAUUGUUUGCACACACAAAAAAAAAAAAAAAAGCGCUCAAAAAAGCCCCAAUUAAGGAUGUCCAUUGUACCCACAUAUGUCAGCAUAUGUGAGUUCUGAAACUCUUCAAAAAAAUACCUUUAUAUUAUUCGGAGUAUAAAUUUAUCUUGGAGAGUUUGGAGCAGAUUUGAUUUGGGUUUUCGUAAAAUUUAAUAUUCAAACAACUACUACUUCUUUAAAAGCAUAAAUAAACAAAUAAAUAAGGUGAUUAAUUUUUGUUUAAUUAGUGUGGUCAUUAAUUAUAGCGAUAUUGAAAUUUUAAUGCAUGAUCUUCUAAGAUUUGUUUUAGUUUUGAGAUUUCAGAUCAUAGUUGUUUGAUUUAUAUUUUAUUAUUUUGUGUUUUCAAAUCUUCGUGUAAAAAUGUCAACUACGCUUGCGCAAAUCUUGCUUUGUCCAUCUUUAAAAGAUCUGAAGAAGCUUCGAUUGCUCCCAAACUUUUAGAAAGAAUUCAAAAAUAUUAAUAUAUACCGCAUGAUAUGCGCUCACUGUUUAGAAAAAAAAUGUACUGCUAGAGUUUAUUUUUAAAUAUUCUCAAACUGCAUUCUGUUUUCUUACUAUAUUUUGGGAAAAUCAGUAUAAUUGAGAUGCGAAUAAGGUCGACAAUUAUACUAUUAAAAUGCAGUACAUGUGUUAUUUACGCAUUGCUUAUCUAAAUAGUUUGUUUUAUUUGCGCAUUGUUUAUAUAUAUAUAUAUUUAUUUAUUUAUUUAUUUAUUUAUUUAUCUAUAAUGUAUAACGAGGAUUCCCAAUCUUUUAAAUAUAAUAAAUAUGAAAAAUCGUUCUUCGUUUCUUGCAUGGCCAUUUUAAUAAAGCAGGUUAAGUUUAGGGAUGGCAAAAUCCUCCACGGGUUUGGGGCCCCAUGGAGCCCCACCCCAAAUGGAGAAAUUUUUUAGUAAUUUUUGGGGAAUGGGGUGGGGAAUGGGGGAAAAGUAAUCCCCAAAUUGUUAACGGGGUGGGGUUUGGUAUUGCACUCCCCACCCCACUCCCACCCCAAUCCCCAUUAUAUAUAAAUAUGUUUUUAAUUCUUAUUUAAUAAUUUGUAUUUUAUCAACUAUAAUGUCAAUUAAUGAUUUUUUUUAAUUUUUAUGUAAUAUAAAUAAAAUAUGAAUAAAAGAAAAUUCUACAAUAUUUUUCAACUUUAAAACAUUAAUAUAUUUUCUUUUCUCUUUUAAGGUGCUGCUUUCUUUAAAUAUUUUUCACUUUUAAUAUCAUUUUAAGAUAUUGUUUCAAAUUUUUAGAGAUUUUUUUUUAAAAUUAAAUACUUUAUAAUAUUGUGAUGAUUUUAUCUUAAGUCUCUAAUUUUUAAUUUACUGAAAUCAUAUUUUUAUAUCUACUAUAAAAUAUGUAAAUGGGGAAUGGGGUGGGGAUGGGGGAAUCAUUCCCCACGUGGGGAUUCCCCAUCCCCAACCCACUAAAUUUAUUGGGGAAUGGAGGCAAAAAUUUUUAAUGGGGUAGGCAUCCCCACCCCCACCCCGCC
rnacentral:lncRNA from 1 species